rnacentral:rRNA from 1 species
AUUGAACGCUGGCGGCAGGCCUAACACAUGCAAGUCGAACGAGUGGCGGACGGGUGAGUAAUGUCUGGGAAACUGCCCGAUGGAGGGGGAUAACUACUGGAAACGGUAGCUAAUACCGCAUACCAUCGGAUGUGCCCAGAUGGGAUUAGCUAGUCGGUGGGGUAAUGGCUCACCUAGGCGACGAUCCCUAGCUGGUCUGAGAGGAUGACCAGCAACAAUGGAACUGAGACACGGUCCAGACUCCUACGUGAGGCAGCAGUGGGGAAUAUUGCACAAUGGGCGCAAGCAUGAUGCAGCCAUGCCGCGUGUAUGAAGAAGUCCUGCGGGUUGUAAAGUACUUUCAGCGGGGAGGCGUUACCCGCAGAAGAAGCACCGGCUAACUCCAUGCCAGCAGCCGCGGUAAUUC